CCUACGGGAGGCAGCAGUGGGGAAUAUUGCACAAUGGGCGCGAGCCUGAACCAGCCAAGUCGCGUGAGGGAGGACGGCCCUACGGGUUGUAAACCUCUUUUGCCGGGGAGCAACGGGCGUCACGUGUGGCGCCACUGAGAGUACCCGGAGAAAAAGCAUCGGCUAACUCCGUGCCAGCAGCCGCGGUAAUACGGGGGAUGCGAGCGUUAUCCGGAUUUAUGGGGUUUAAAGGGUGCGUAGGCGGAUCGUGAAGUUAGUGGUCAAAUUGAGGGGCUCAACCCCUUCCCGCCAUUGAAACUGGCGUUCUUGAGUGGAAGAGAAGUAUGCGGAAUGCGUGGUGUAGCGGUGAGAUGCAUAGAUAUCACGCAGAACCCCGAUUGCGAAGGCAGCAUGCCGGCUUCCGACUGACGCUGAAGCACGAAAGCGUGGGGAUCGAACAGGAUUAGAUACCCGGGUAGUC
rnacentral:rRNA from 1 species